rnacentral:rRNA from 1 species
GACGAACGCUGGCGGCGUGCCUAAUACAUGCAAGUAGAACGCUGAGGUUUGGUGUUUACACUAGACUGUUGAGUUGCGAACGGGUGAGUAACGCGUAGGUAACCUGCCUCAUAGCGGGGGAUAACUAUUGGAAACGAUAGCUAAUACCGCAUAAGAGUAAUUAACACAUGUUAGUUAUUUAAAAGGAGCAAUUGCUUCACUGUGAGAUGGACCUGCGUUGUAUUAGCUAGUUGGUGAGGUAAAGGCUCACCAAGGCGACGAUACAUAGCCGACCUGAGAGGGUGAUCGGCCACACUGGGACUGAGACACGGCCCAGACUCCUACGGGAGGCAGCAGUAGGGAAUCUUCGGCAAUGGACGGAAGUCUGACCGAGCAACGCCGCGUGAGUGAAGAAGGUUUUCGGAUCGUAAAGCUCUGUUGUUAGAGAAGAACGUUGGUAGGAGUGGAAAAUCUACCAAGUGACGGUAACUAACCAGAAAGGGACGGCUAACUACGUGCCAGCAGCCGCGGUAAUACGUAGGUCCCGAGCGUUGUCCGGAUUUAUUGGGCGUAAAGCGAGCGCAGGCGGUUCUUUAAGUCUGAAGUUAAAGGCAGUGGCUUAACCAUUGUACGCUUUGGAAACUGGAGGACUUGAGUGCAGAAGGGGAGAGUGGAAUUCCAUGUGUAGCGGUGAAAUGCGUAGAUAUAUGGAGGAACACCGGUGGCGAAAGCGGCUCUCUGGUCUGUAACUGACGCUGAGGCUCGAAAGCGUGGGGAGCAAACAGG